CCCUUAGAUGUUCUCGGCAGCACACGCGCUACACUGAAAGAGGCAACGUGUUUGCCUGAUUCGAAAGAAUUGGGUAACCCCCUAAUCUCUUUCGUGCUGGGGAUUGAGGUUUGCAAUUAUCCUUCAUGAACGAGGAAUUCCCAGUAAGUGCGAGUCAUUAUCUCGCGCUGACUACGUCCCUGCCCUUUGUACACACCGCCCGUCGCUACUACCGAUUGAAUGAUUUAGUGAGGACUUCGGACUGAGUCCAAUGCGGCUUUCGGGCUGCGUUGGUAUUUCGGAAAGAUGUCCAAACUGUAUCAUUUAGAGGAAGUAAAAGUCGUAACA
rnacentral:rRNA from 1 species